UACGUAGGGGGCAAGCGUUGUCCGGAAUCAUUGGGCGUAAAGGGCGCGUAGGCGGACUUAUAAGUCUGAUGUGAAAGUGCGGUGCUUAACGCCGUAAAGCAUUGGAAACUGUGAGUCUUGAGGACAGGAGAGGAAAGUGGAAUUCCACGUGUAGCGGUGAAAUGCGUAGAGAUGUGGAGGAACACCAGUGGCGAAGGCGACUUUCUGGACUGUAACUGACGCUGAGGCGCGAAAGCGUGGGGAGCGAACAGGAUUAGAUACCCUGGUAGUCCACGCCGUAAACGAUGAAUGCUAGGUGUAGAGGGUAUCGACCCCUUCUGUGCCGCAGUUAACACAAUAAGCAUUCCGCCUGGGGAGUACGGCCGCAAGGUUGAA
rnacentral:rRNA from 1 species